rnacentral:lncRNA from 1 species
GGGUUCUCCAGGUUUUAUGGGCUUCGUUGGACCCAAAGGUAUACGAGGAGUCCCAGGAAUACCUGGAUUUUCAGGUCCCCCAGGCCUUCCAGGUGAACCAGGAACUGUUGGUCCUCCUGGGCCCUCGGGUGUUCCAGGAUGCAAUGGCACAAAGGUACAAACCAAGCUGAAUAUUACGGAUAUUGUGUUUGGCUAUGCUUAGGAAUGGCCAAAAAGCAUUCUGAAU